AUUGAACGCUGGCGGCAGGCCUAACACAUGCAAGUCGAACGAGUGGCGGACGGGUGAGUAAUGUCUGGGAAACUGCCUGAUGGCGGGGGAUAACUACUGGAAACGGUAGCUAAUACCGCAUACCAUCAGAUGUGCCCAGAUGGGAUUAGCUAGUAGGUGGGGUAACGGGUUACCUAGGCGACGAUCCCUAGCUGGGCUGAGAGGAUGACCAGCCACACUGGAACUGAGGCACGGUCCAGACGCCUACGGGAGGCAGCGGGGGGGAAUAUUGGACAAUGGGCGCAAGCCUGAUGCAGCCAUGCCGCGUGGAUGAAGAAGGCCUUCGGGUUGUAAAGUACUUUCAGUGGGGAGGCGUUACCCGCAGAAGAAGCACCGGCUAACUCCGUGCCAGCAGCCGCGGUAAUUC
rnacentral:rRNA from 1 species